UCUGUUUUUUUUUUUUUUUUUUUUUUUUUUUUUUUUUUUUGCAGUUGGCAAUAGAGAAAGCUUGGUGAUAGCGACCUUCAAGAUUGGCGUAGUCUUAUCAACCAAGUUCAUGGUGGAUUUUGCCCCAAACGAGAUGUUUUGAGUAUUUGCAAAGUUCGGAGUAUUAUGUACAAGAUUGGCGAAUUAACCAACUUCAUGGAAGAUUUUGCCCCAAACGAGAUGCUUUGAGUAUUUGCAAAGUUCGGAGUCUAUUGUCAUUAUUUCUUUCAGUCUUGACAUCUCCAUCAGCCCGACUAAAGACUAUCCUCAGAGAGUUCAUCCAAAAAAAAAAUUGGCAGCAGCCCAUCUAAGAUCUUAUUUGAGUGAUGUUUACUUUGCACUUCAGGUGGCUCAAUUGGCUUUUAAUCAGAUUUCGGGUGCGCUCGGAUCUGGGCCAUUAUGAGUCCAACCUUUGAAGAUUGCUGGUUACAUUUUCUCUUUGCGCGCAUUCGAGCAGGCUAGAUGACUCAAUGGUGUUCUAUUAUGUUUGGCGAACAUGUGUUUCAACUUCACGAGCGGAUUCAACUUUAGCUUGGAGAGAAGUGAAGUUGUCGAUGCAUAGCCGACCUCAAUGCCAGAUGACUCAAUUCUUUGACAGGUCUUGGGUGCGCUCAGGCCUGGGAUUGUUUGAAUCUGGUUUGAGUGAGGUUGUUGUUAUGUUUGGCAUCUCACGAAGUUGGGAGAAUUCUGCACAACGGCUCGAGAAGAUUGAGUAUUUUCUUCUUGAUGCUUAAGCCAAGGAGAAUGAAGCCAUCGUCCGAAUUGCUUUGAUCAAGGAAGAGCUUGCUAUGAUAGAGAGGUGGAAGACAGAGAUGACGUUGUCCUUCAAGCAAGAUAGUGCCUCCUUUCAUAUUGUCCGAGGUGCAAUCCCAGAAUUCAAAAGAGAUUUUGACAAACAUAAAGUUGCACAUGUUGAUGAGGAAAUGCUGCGGAAUUUUGAAGACUUCAGAGUCACUUUUGAUCUCUGCUCAGAGAACUUUGGAGGAUCAAGACCCAUUUGCUUAGUAUUGGUGCAAACCGCAGUUUCUAUCAUUUCUCUCUUGAUGAUUCUUAUUUGGUUUGUGAUGGAUAUUUUGACAUCUUCUCCAAAUGCUUGUGCUUCUUUUGAUGGCUUGAUUUUCUUCCCAAUUUGAGACAUAUUCGGCUUCACAUAAUCAACUUAAAUCAUAACUUUGAUGAUAUAAAUUGAAAAGAGUCAAACACAAUUCAUGACUGAACCUAGAAAUUAUCUAAGCUGCCUACGUACCCUUUUGAAAGGGAUCAAGUCAAAACGUAGUUCAUAGGAUCAACAGGUGUUUGAGAUUGGGUGCCGUGCACAGUUUAUACUCAUGCGGGCCAGGAGUAACAUGCAGUUUAGGCUCGUGCGUCAAGGAGCUGUCUUCAUACACUCCAUUUUGUUUGCUUUUCUCCAUUUCUGGUUUUUCAUCUGACUCAUCUUUUUGGCUUUUCUGUUUUUCUAUUUUUUUUUUUUUGUUUUCUAUAUAUAUAUAUAUAUAUAUAUAUAUAUAUAUAUAUUAUAUAUAUAGUGUGUAGUUUAUUCCACAAACUCCUCUUAGUAUAUAAAUUAAGAACUAAUCUUAACCUUAGAUGUUCCUAUUCUAACGGUUGAGAUCAUGUUGACAAGAUUUCCAUUCGUUCAUUUUAAGUAGCUAAGUAAUGCAUGCGUUAUUGAAAUUGAGGGUACAAUUGGAAUGAGGUGUUGACUUUUUAAAUACGCAAAAUUGGAAUAAAAUUCGAAUCCCCCAAAAAACUCAUUCUUGAUUGGGAAUAAAGAUUUGAUGGCAUUUGGAUAUCACAAAUUAGUUGCGUGAAUUACAAAUACNAAUUUAUUUUGAUAGUUUAAACUCUUAUCGCGGAGUUCUUGAAUUUUGAAUUUUGUAAAUAGUUUAUACUCGUAUUUAGGAGUUCUUGAAUUUCUUUGGAUUUAUAAAAUAGUUUAUACUCGUAUUUAGGAGUUCUUGAAUUUCUUUGAAUUUAUAAAUAGUUUAUACUCGUAUUUAGGAGUUCUUCAUUUGAUUUUGGAAUUUUAAAUAGUUUAUACUCGUAUUUAGGAGUUCUUGAAUUUCUUUGAAUUUAUAAAUAGUUUAUACUCGUAUUUAGGAGUUCUUGAAUUUUUUGGAAUUUGUAAAUAGUUUAUACUCGUAUUUAGGAGUUCUUGAAUUUCUUUGAAUUUUGUAAAUAGUUUAUACUCGUAUUUAGGAGUUCUUGAUUUGAAUUUUGAAUUUGCUCUUUUUUUUUUUUUUUUUAAUAAAAAAUUUUUCUUUAUCAUCCCAUAAUGAUUAACCUAUUUGUGGUUCAAUCAUUUGGAGCUAUUUUCUAUACGUUGAUAGAAAGUAUUAGCUGCAAACUCUAAUCCAAGCCAUUUGCUUAACCAAAGACAUCAAAUGUCUAAUUUGAAGAUAUCAACUACAAGCCCAAUUCCCACUUAAAAGGCUUGACCAAAUUCACUUAUUUGCUCGGCCCAAUUUAUCUUCAAAUCACAUGAGUUUUGUUCCAAAGAGAAGAGAAGGCAGCCCCUAUGAUUAUGCUAUCUUUUUAAAACCACAACAGCUAUACACUUUAGACUUUAUCUACAGCUAUACCAGAACAUGCAUUAAAUGCAUUAUCUUUACUUUUCAAAACUGAUCGAUACUUUUGUUUUGACGAGCUGUCGCCUGCUGAAAACUACAAAAAAAUAGCUGGAGCUGCACUCUGUUCUCGUACACAUUGGUGGCUAGGGAAUCUCUUCUUCUUCCUUUUUUAUUUCUUUCUUUUCUACUGGUUUUGCUUCUGCUUCUUCCUUUUUCUCCUCUAUAAAUAGAGUAAACCCUCCCUAUGUAUUGCAUCUCAAAACAAACGCAGCUUCCUCUUUCUCGGCUGCCUACAGUAGCCUGUUCUAGGAGUUUUCAUUUGAUAGCUGUAGUAUCUUUUGAUAGCUAUAGCUAUAGUUCUCAAAACAAAGCUCGGCUUGCUUCUAGUUCUCGCGGAGUGCCGACGGAGGGUUGAAGGUGGUCGGAGGACAAGAACUUGGCUUGUUGUCGUUUUCGUAAGGCGCCGGCGAAAGGAGAGAUCGGGCUUUGACACUAGAGGCGUCGAAGGCGAGAGUUAGAGGCAAUCGGAGGUGCCGCAAGGAGUUCGGCAACUUAAGUAGCGAAGGGAUCUUCAAUCAGAGUAAGCAUGUUUGCGACAUUCCUUUUAUUGCUUUUGAAUCAUAUAUGACAUGCUCUGAAGUUUAUUUGUUGUCUCAUUUCCUUCGCCAACCUAGCUGCUGUCGAGAGAAAGCAGAGGCCGGAGCUUGUUUUGUUACGGUGUUUGGUGGUGAAACAAACGUGAGUUUCGGGACGGCGAAGGAGCCAUAUCGGCAACGACGAGGCUGUGCUCCGUCGAGGUACACUUCUCUGCAGUCUCACCUUCAGUUUUGCACAGUCGUUGGCUUCUUUUAGCGGGUGCGGCAGCUACUGGAACGGGCUUGAAGCGCGGUGGCGGUAUUUGGCUUCGGCUUUGCAGCAGUCUCCAGCUUCUUCUCGGCGGGCAUAGCAGUUGCUGGCGAAGGGAUUGGAAUUGUCGGGGUCGGGCUUGGACGCGGUGACGUUAUUGUCUAAGGCGGAACAAGUGUUCACGAGCAACGCCUUCAAUUCAGAGGCGGCUGAUUUCGUCGAGCUUCAUUUCGCAUUGAAGCAGAAGUUCCGGCAGCCGACAGUAGUAUUUGUGAGAGAGGGAUGGAACAGAUGACCGUGACCGGAGGGAGAAGGCGGCCUCGUCCAUGGCGGUUCUCGCCAAUUUUGAAACAACGGCGGCGGCGGGAGUGGCUCUUUCGGUGGGGCUGAGUUGGAAGGCAGCGGAACGAGAGUUUUAAAGCGAGGGUAUCGGUCUACGCCGGGACGAAGGACACAUCGCCGCCGGACUUCGGAAGAGGCACGUCAGAUCUUUGGAGGAAGGAGGAUGGCUGCUUUUGAUUUGGCUUUAUAGCAGUCUCCGGCUUCUUAUUAGCUGGCGUAGCAGCAGUCGGAACCGGCUUGGGGGACAGAGGGAACGGAGUUGAGAGGCGAUCCGCCGGACUUGUGGAGAAGAUGGCGGAAACCAAGUGAAGAGGAGAGAGAGAUGGAGGCUGAUGGGCCUUUAUUUAGGUACACUUUAGCCACUACUUAAGCCCAAAUUCUUUGUUUGGCCCAUUUUCCUUAUAAUUAGGUCCAACAUCAGUCAGGCCCAAUUUUCUCUUUUUUUUUUUUUUUUUUUUUUAAUGUCAAGUAAAUUCCCAAGUUUUGAAUAUUGCUUGUGUUUUCCUUGCAGUUAAUAGCGAUGAGAGUUUGGCGAUGACAAUCUUGGGGGGUCAUGUUCAAGACUGGCGUAGUCUCAUUAACCAACUUCAUGGCGGAUUUUUCCCCAAACGAGAUGCUUUGAGUAUUUGCAAAGUUCGGAGUCUAUUGUCAUUAUUUCUUCCAGUCUUGACAUCUCCAUCAGCCCGACUAAAGACUAUCCUCAGAGAGUUCAUCCAAAAAAAAAUUGGCAGCAGCCCAUCUAAGAUCUUAUUUGAGUGAUGUUUACUUUGCACUUCAGGUGGCUCAAUUGGCUUUUAAUCAGAUUUCGGGUGCGCUCGGAUCUGGGCCAUUGUGAGUCCAACCUUUGAAGAUUGCUGGUUACAUCUUCUCUUUGCGUGCAUUUGAGCAGGCUAGAUGACUCAAUGGUGUUCUAUUAUGUCUGGUGAACAUGUGUUUCAACUCCACGAGCGGAUUCAAACGAGAUGCUUUGAGUAUUUGCAAAGUUCGGAGUAUUAUGUACAAGAUUGGCGAAUUAACCAACUUCAUGGAAGAUUUUGCCCCAAACGAGAUGCUUUGAGUAUUUGCAAAGUUCGGAGUCUAUUGUCAUUAUUUCUUUCAGUCUUGACAUCUCCAUCAGCCCGACUAAAGACUAUCCUCAGAGAGUUCAUCCAAAAAAAAUUGGCAGCAGCCCAUCUAAGAUCUUAUUUGAGUGAUGUUUACUUUGCACUUCAGGUGGCUCAAUUGGCUUUUAAUCAGAUUUCGGGUGCGCUCGGAUCUGGGCCAUUGUGAGUCCAACCUUUGAAGAUUGCUGGUUACAUCUUCUCUUUGCGUGCAUUUGAGCAGGCUAGAUGACUCAAUGGUGUUCUAUUAUGUCUGGUGAACAUGUGUUUCAACUCCACGAGCGGAUUCAACUUUAGCUUGGAGAGAAGUGAAGUUGUUGAUGCAUAGCCGACCUCAAUGGCAGAUGACUCAAUUCUUUGACAG
rnacentral:lncRNA from 1 species